UUGUAGUUUGAUUAUUGUAUAUUUAUGGGCGAAAAAGUGGGUGAAAAACCAUCAUGGCAGCACGAAAGACGCCAAAGAAGACGACGAACAGCUCCUCAACAGAUCGCAACGGACAAACAAAAGCGCAAAAAACGAUCGCAAGUUGUCAUAUGGGACUGCGGUUGGCUGAGUGAACCUCGCUCUGAAUCGGAGUCGCCUGUUUCGCAGGCAAGGUGUCAAAAUGUAAACAGAAGACCUUAAAUGGUAAGCCUACGGGAGAUUCACAGUUAUUGGACUGGAGCAUUUCACCUGUGCGGAGAUCUACAGUGAAAAAGCGUGCCAGAAAGUUGGUCCUUAAAGAGACGGGUGUAGCAGCUUCAGCUGGCACGAAUAAAGUGUUGCAUGAAGGUGGUGUGAAGGCUCUGAGAUUUAAUGAUGGCCCCGUGCGAAAAGUUAUAAAGUUGCGGUCCAGGAAAAUGUCAUCCACUCCAAAACCCAAAGAGGGUAAACGAUGGAGGACAAAGUGUACCAAAUCCACUGCCAAAAAGAAAGGACUGCUGUCAAGGCUGAAGAUUUCAUCUUCAGAUAUAACCAUGUCUCCAGCAGAAAAGACCAAGGCCAAGUCAGGUAGUUCACUUGAUGAAGUCACUGUGACUGUGGCUAAAAUUGUAGACAUUACAGAGGAUGGUGUGGAAAUGAACUGUGCACCAGCUGCUUGUAGACCGUAUAAACCACAUCCUGUGUUAAGACGGGGUCCUAGAACAAAAAGGCCUUUGACAAGAAUGCAGAACGAGAGUGACAAGCAUCUAUCAGCUGGUCUUGCCACAUGUACGCCUAAUGCAGAGUCAUACAGUGGAAAAACAAAUGAAUUUUCCAAGACAGGCUUAAUUGUGGAAAAUGUAAAACCAUUAACAUUAAACCAACCAAACACACC